AUUGCACGCCGGCGGCAUGCUUUACACACGCAAGUCGAACGGUAACAGGCCGCAAGGUGCUGACGCGCGGCGAUCCGGUGAGUAAUGCAACGGAACGUGCCCAGUCGUGGGGGCUAACUUCUCCAAAUAGCAGCUAAUACCGCAUACGAUCUAUGGAUGACAGCGGGGGACCGUAAGGCCUCGCCCAAUUGCACCGGCCGGAGUCAGAUUAGGUAGUUGGUGGGGUAAAGGCUCACCAAGCCAAAGAUCUGUAGCGGGUCUGAGAGGACGACCAGCCACACUGGGACUGAGACACGGCACAGACUCCUACGGGAGGCAGCAGUGGGGAAUUUUGGACAAUGGGGGCAACCCUGAUCCAGCAAUGCCGCGUGCAGGAAGAAGGCCUUCGGGUUGUAAACUGCUUUUGUACGGAACGAAACGGUCUGGGUCAAUACCCUGGGCUAAUGACGGUACCGUAAGAAUAAGCACCGGCUAACUACGUGCCAGCAGCCGCCGUAACAC
rnacentral:rRNA from 1 species